UCUCGAUUGGUCUAGUGGUCAGGAUACCUGCUUGUCAUCGGUACAAACCGCAGGUGGCCGGGGUUCGAUUCCCCGAUCGAGAG